AUUGAACGCUGGCGGCAGGCUUAACACAUGCAAGUCGAGCGGGGUGAUGGUGCUUGCACUAUCACUUAGCGGCGGACGGGUGAGUAAUGCUUAGGAAUCUGCCUAUUAGUGGGGGACAACAUCUCGAAAGGGAUGCUAAUACCGCAUACGUCCUACGGGAGAAAGCAGGGGAUCACCUGUGACCUUGCGCUAAUAGAUGAGCCUAAGUCGGAUCAGCUAGUUGGUGGGGUAAAGGCCUACCAAGGCGACGACCUGUAGCGGGUCUGAGAGGAUGAUCCGCCACACUGGGGCUGAGACACGGCCCAGACUCCUACGGGAGGCAGCAGUGGGGAAUAUUGGACAAUGGGGGGAACCCUGAUCCAGCCAUGCCGCGUGUGUGAAGGAGGCCUUAUGGUUGUAAAGCACUUUAAGCGAGGAGGAGGCUCUUUUGGUUAAUACCCAAGAUGAGUGGACGUUACUCGCAGAAUAAGCACCGGCUAACUCUGUGCCAGCCGCCGCAGUAA
rnacentral:rRNA from 1 species